CAGGAAUUGGUCCGAGGAGCUAAAAAUGCAAUGUCUUUGGCCCAGGGGGUUGUUUACUGGCAACCACCCAAACAGGCAUUAGAAAAGGUGAAAGAACUUGUAUGGGACCCUUCAAUUAGUCGUUAUGGUGCUGAUGAGGGUAUCACUGAACUCAGGGAGGCAUUGACAGUGAAGCUGCGAAAGGAAAAUAAAUUGGUGAAAUCUUCAGUUAUGGUUACUGCUGGUGCAAAUCAGGCAUUUGUGAAUCUUGUUCUUGCAUUGUGUGAUGCUGGGGAUUCUGUAGUCAUGUUUGCUCCAUACUAUUUCAAUGCAUACAUGUCCUUCCAGAUGACAGG
rnacentral:misc_RNA from 1 species